UACAGAGGUUCCAAGCGUUGUUCGGAAUUAUUGGGCGUAAAGGGUGCGUAGGCGGUCUGGCAAGUCUGAUGUGAAAUCUAUGGGCUCAACCCAUAGUCUGCAUCGGAAACUGUCGGGCUUGAGUAUGGGAGAGGUGAGUGGAAUUUCCGGUGUAGCGGUGAAAUGCGUAGAUAUCGGAAGGAACACCUGUGGCGAAAGCGGCUCACUGGACCAUUACUGACGCUGAGGCACAAAAGCUAGGGGAGCAAACAGG
rnacentral:rRNA from 1 species